rnacentral:sRNA from 1 species
ACUUAUCUUAAGCAGUCUUAGACUCAGUUCCAUUAGCGCAGGCUCUUUGGAGCCAUUCCCCUAGGCCCUAAACGCCUUACGUUUUGGGCCUUUUUUU